rnacentral:lncRNA from 1 species
UUUGAGAUAUUUGUUAGAAAAUCGAUUUUGUGUUUGUUGGAAAUAAAUGGAGAGUAUAAAAGAGUAUUUAGUUCUGUUUUGUGAUGAUUAAAUCCCUUGAGUUGUGUUGAUUAUGGUGAUAUAGUUGGGUGGAAGAUGGAAUUUAUUCCAUGCUUGAUUAGUGAAGUCAUAAGGUUGGUGUUCUUGAUUUAUUUGAGUCACUUAGCCUAUAUUUCUCUACCUUAACCAAU